rnacentral:rRNA from 1 species
CCUACGGGGGGCAGCAGUCGAGAAUCAUUCACAAUGGGGGAAACCCUGAUGGUGCGACGCCGCGUGGGGGAAUGAAGGUCUUCGGAUUGUAAACCCCUGUCAUGUGGGAGCAAAUUAAAAAGAUAGUACCACAAGAGGAAGAGACGGCUAACUCUGUGCCAGCAGCCGCGGUAAUACAGAGGUCUCAAGCGUUGUUCGGAUUCACUGGGGGUAAAGCGUGCGUAGGCUGUUUCGUAAGUAGUGUGUGAAAUGCGCGGGCUCAACCCGCGGACGGCACCUGAUACUGCGAGACUAGAGUAGUGGAGGGGGAACCGGAAUGCUCGGUGUAGCAGUGAAAUGCGUAGAUAUCGAGAGGAACACUCGUGGCGAAGGCGGGUUCCUGGACAUUAACUGACGCUGAGGCACGAAGGCCAGGGGAGCGAAAGGGAUUAGAUACCCUAGUAGUC